UUGGGUGAGGGAAGAGGGAAUCCUGACGGAGGAAUACGAGGGCUUGCUGUUGAAACGGCGUCGUUCCGUUCAUCUUUCCCCGACAUUUUGGUUGAUUAAGUCAAGAUCUGUACGGAUAUAGCUUUAGCUAUCGGGAGACUCGGUUACAUUGGAGACAUGACCCACUAUAAGUUCCUCUAUCCACAUGAAGAGCACUUGUAUAAGGUAGUGAGAUUCUUGGUGAAGAGGCUAUUAUGGGCAUCUAUUGUUCUUAAAUUCCCUGAUCUCAAGGAUGUAACUGGCAUAGGGAAAAUAAAAGAGGUGGGCUUUAUUGAUUAUUAGGAGGACUGGAGGGGGAAAGACGAUAACAAAACGUUAGAUCUUAACCUUCACAAAGAAAUAUUGAAGGAUCUUAGUCUUCAUCCUUCAGAGUUGUCUGAUUCCAAGGUUGAAGAUGCAUCCUUCAGUGGGUUAGGGAUUCUGAAUUUUGUUAAGGACAAAUUGACUGUUGAUGGAACUGGAAACCUUUUGGCUGAAGAAGAAGGGCAGCCAGGAAAAGAUGCAUGUGAAUGCUCUGAAAGAUGAUAAGCAUGUUCAGAAAGUGAUUUCUGCUAGGGACCAAUCAUCCAAGAUGAGACAUGAGAGUGAAAUAUUACAAAAUCAAGAAAAUGUUUCCAUGAAGGAGGCAACGGCAAGGAUUUCAGAAUUACAGAAACUUGAAAAAGAGUAUGAGGUUUUAAAGGCUGCAGCAGAAAGGGCAUUUGAUGACCAACAUCCUAUUGACUCUUACCUUGACCAGCUUAGCAAGCAACUAGAUUCCAAAAGGAUAAUAUUGUGGAAUUGGAGACCAAGUCCAAGUGGGACGCUUUCAGAAAGCCUCUGGAGGAGAAAAAGAGAAGCUUUCGGACUUUCUCUAUGCAAACAUACCACAGGCUCGAGAGAAGCUAAAAAAGUUGGAGGGAAGUUGAGCUGGAAAAGCAGCCUGUCUUAUCUGAAAUUAGGAGGCAGGAGGAGGAACAUUCAAAACUUUCUGUGGAUCUUGAGAAGCUAUCUAAUCUGCCAACUAGAACAUCCUAUAUAGAGCAUAUAAAGUAGAUCACCAAAAACAGUCAAGAAAAGGACGCUGACAUAGAGCAGAUUUUAAAAGAAACCAGAAAGCUUCAGUUAGAAAGCAACUCUAUUCCAGAACGUCGGGAUAGAACUUAUGCUGUUCUGGAUGAAAUAGUAUUCAGUUAUGAAAUGGUUUCUUCUCCUGUUUGUUUCCCAGCCUGUACCUUCAGGCUUCAGUAUUGACACGUCAUACUUGUUCGUUGAAAGAUAUGACUAUAUAUUUAUUGCUUUACUGAAAAUGAGCAUAUCUCCACAGGGUAGCAGAGAAAGACACAGUUGGACCUCUCUUUCCAUCAAGUUUCUCUGUAUUCUCGAUAAACCCUUUUUUUUUUCUUCAUUUCUCUAUUUCUUCAAAUCACACAAACCCUGAAAUCUUGUUUCUUAGAAACCUUGUAUGUGUUUAUAAUGGUUCGAUCAAUGAAGGCAAAUCCUUCUUCAUCAUUAUCCGAAGCUUAUAGGUUUCUCACUAGCAUACAUGAGUGCUUCGAACAAAUUUCUGAGAAAAUCCUAAUGGCUGACAGAAUACGAAGAGAAAUGGCAGAACAUGAAAAGAAGCUAACAGCCAUGGCAUUUCGAAGCUUAAAUGUAGACAAACUGCAAGCUGAUCUCAACGCCGUUACAAAGGAAAAUGAGUGACUCAAGCAACAUCUUAAAGAUAAUUAAAACCCUCAACUCAUUCCCGCAGUUACAGUAUGUUAAUUCAUUUAUUGCUCCAUAGCAUAAACUUAAUUGUAAUUGUUUCUGUGGAAUUCAAAUUUACACACAAGAAGAUCAUUAUAUUCACCUUAUCAAAUGAGAGCAAUGAAAUGCUGGUUUGUUAUCC